GGACGAACGCUGGCGGCGUGCCUAACACAUGCAAGUCGAACGGAGUUCCUAAGGAUUGAGGCUUCGGCUGAUUCCUUUUGAACUUAGUGGCGGACGGGUGAGUAACGCGUGAGGAACCUGCCUUUCAGAGGGGGACGACAGUUGGAAACGACUGCUAAUACCGCAUAAUGCAUAGAGACCGCAUGAUCUUUAUGCCAAAGAUUUUAUCGCUGAAAGAUGGCCUCGCGUCUGAUUAGAUAGUUGGUGGGGUAACGGCCUACCAAGUCGACGAUCAGUAGCCGGACUGAGAGGUUGAACGGCCACAUUGGGACUGAGACACGGCCCAGACUCCUACGGGAGGCAGCAGUGGGGAAUAUUGCGCAAUGGGGGCAACCCUGACGCAGCAACGCCGCGUGAAGGAAGAAGGUCUUCGGAUUGUAAACUUUUGUCUUCUGGGAAGAUAAUGACGGUACCAGAGGAGGAAGCUCCGGCUAACUACGUG
rnacentral:rRNA from 1 species